rnacentral:rRNA from 1 species
ACCUACGGGGGGCAGCAGUAGGGAAUCUUCCACAAUGGGCGAAAGCCUGAUGGAGCAACGCCGCGUGGGUGAAGAAGGUCUUCGGAUCGUAAAACCCUGUUGUUAGAGAAGAAAGUGCGUGAGAGUAACUGUUCACGUUUCGACGGUAUCUAACCAGCAAGCCACGGCUAACUACGUGCCAGCAGCCGCGGUAAUACGUAGUUGGCAAGCGUUAUCCGGAUUUAUUGGGCGUAAAGGGAACGCAGGCGGUCUUUUAAGUCUGAUGUGAAAGCCUUCGGCUUAACCGGAGUAGUGCAUUGGAAACU